rnacentral:rRNA from 2 species
UGGGGAAUAUUGGACAAUGGGCGCAAGCCUGAUCCAGCCAUGCCGCGUGAGUGAUGAAGGCCUUAGGGUUGUAAAGCUCUUUUGGCGGGGACGAUAAUGACGGUACCCGCAGAAUAAGUCCCGGCUAACUUCGUGCCAGCAGCCGCGGUAAUACGAAGGGGACUAGCGUUGUUCGGAAUCACUGGGCGUAAAGCGCACGUAGGCGGAUAUGUCAGUCAGGGGUGAAAUCCCGGGGCUCAACCUCGGAACUGCCCUUGAUACAGCAUGUCUUGAGUCCGAUAGAGGUGGGUGGAAUUCCUAGUGUAGAGGUGAAAUUCGUAGAUAUUAGGAAGAACACCGGUGGCGAAGGCGGCCCACUGGAUCGGUACUGACGCUGAGGUGCGAAAGCGUGGGGAGCAAACA